ACGACGCCGCAGGCCCCGGCCCGCGGCCGCUGAAUGGCGGAGACUGUCCCUGCACAGCUGUGCUUCCACCUGGCCUUCAGUGCCUCGUGCCCGAGAGCGGAAAAGGGAAAUCGCGAGCGGAGCACCGGUGUGCUGGCCACGUGGGCCCCGCCGGGCCGACUCGACCGUGCUGUCGCCCGCCGCUCCAGUGCUAAGGGACCUGGAAGAGAUCCCGGUGCAGCUCCGCUCCCACCAGCGAGGGAGCAGAGGCGCGGGAGGGAAGGGGCGUCCCGGGGGUCGCCAGCACGCUGGGGGCACGGCUGGCAGCCUCCCCCACGCCCCCACGCUGGAAGCCUCGUCUUUGUAACAUCCGGUGUCCUGUAACUAGAUGGGUCCUGUCCUGCGGAGGUGGUUUCCCCUGUGAAGCCAGAGAUUCACCCAGGAGCGUGAGGGGAGCCGGGUCCUGAACCCCCAAGCCGCCCACUACCCUCUACUUUACCGGAUGGAAUUCAUCAGUAACUAGCCAGGUCUGAGGUACAGUCAGUGAAUACCUGUUUAAUGAAUGCAUGCAUAAAUGAAUGAAUGGAUGAUCCAGCUCUUCCUGGAGCAGGCGCGACUUCCACAGAAACAAAAAGAGGGCAAACGCGAGCCGUAAGCAGAAGUGAGUCUUCUUCCUAUGUGAAGGGAUGUGGGGGUGGUCCGCCCUAUCUGUCCUUGAGCACCCGCCCGGACUAGAGGGGUGGGGGUGGCUCCACCCUUAACAAGCUUAAUUCUUGAUGAGAUUAACCAUCAGAACCCAUGAGAGAACGUUAUAGCUCCAGCGCUGAAUGGGACAUCUUUGAUUCUGUGGUGAUGCGGACUUUGUGCUUCUCUGUGAGGAAACACUUUGUUCCAACGACGCAAUUUUCCUCACACUCCGGAAGUGUCCUGCACUGCCAGAAUUGCCCAGCUUCCUGGCACACCUACCAACCAGUCAUUCCCAACACUGCCCAGUAUGCAGCCUCCCGGCAGAGGGCCUGGAUGUCUUGGCAGGUAGGGUUCCCCUAGCAGCCUGGGGUGGCCAGAUAGAAACAUUAACUGGAACUGGAGCACCGGUGUGUUGGCCACGUGGGCCCUGCCGGGCCGACUCCGGUCCCUGCUGCCGCCCACCGCUCCAGUGCAAGGGACCUGGAAGUGAUCCCGGUGCCGCUCCAGUUCCAGAUCCAGGGAGCCAGGAGGGCUCCGACUGGUGCACACACAAGCCACUCACACUGCUGUCGCCCACAUACCUUCCUCUCCUGCUAGCCCACCCCAAAGCCCAAACUCCUGCCCACAUGCUGGGAAGGUGAGGCCUUGCCUGGACAGCCCAGCAGGGAAAAUAGAAGGAGGGAAGUAGUCCCGCUGCUUUCCCAGAGCUCUGCUCUGCGGCUGCAGGAAGACCCGCAGAGGCCCUGGGCAGCAGGACUGUGGACAGCAAGGCCUGAGUGGUGAAACCCAACCACUCAACUGGAUUCCAGAAGCUCAGGUGGUGGUGACUAAACCUGGCCUUAAUCAAAAUGCAUGACUUUAUUGUCUUUCAAUGUAUUUUCAGUAAACUUCAUCCUCUCCA